rnacentral:rRNA from 1 species
CUACGGGGGGCUGCAGUGAGGAAUAUUGCACAAUGGGGGGAACCCUGAUGCAGCAACGCCGCGUGGAGGAUGACGCAUUUCGGUGUGUAAACUCCUUUUAUAUGUCAAGAAAAUGACGGUAGCAUAUGAAUAAGCACCGGCUAACUCCGUGCCAGCAGCCGCGGUAAUACGGAGGGUGCAAGCGUUACUCGGAAUCACUGGGCGUAAAGGACGCGUAGGCGGGUUGGAAAGCCAGGUGUGAAAUCCUACAGCUUAACUGUAGAACUGCACUUGAAACUUCUAAUCUAGAGUAUGGGAGGGGGAGAUGGAAACAGUGGUGUAGGGGUAAAAUCCGUAGAUAUCACUAGGAAUACCUAAAGCGAAGGCGAUCUCCUGGAACAUUACUGACGCUAAGGCGUGAAAGCGUGGGGAGCAAACAGGAUUAGAUACCCCGGUAGUC